UGAUGAAUAAUGAUUAAUGUGCCCAGGAC
rnacentral:piRNA from 1 species